CGGGACGGGUGAGUAAUGUCUGGGAAACUGCCUGAUGGAGGGGGGUAACUACUGGAAACGGUAGCUAAUACCGCAUAACGUCGCAAGACCAAAGAGGGGGACCGUUAGGGCCUCUUGCCAUCGGAUGUGCCCAGAUGGGAUUAGCUAGUAGGUGGGGUAACGGCUCACCUAGGCGACGAUCCCUAGCUGGUCUGAGAGGAUGACCAGCCACACUGGAACUGAGACACGGUCCAG
rnacentral:rRNA from 1 species